CAGCCGCGGUAAUUCCAGCUCCAAUAGCGUAUAUUAAAGUUGUUGCGGUUAAAAAGCUCGUAGUUGGAUCUCGGCGGGCAGGGGGUGGUUCGCUCUUCAGCGCUACUGCCCCGCUUUGCCCGUGUGAUUGGCGGAGGUUUCGGGGUGCUCUUCGUUGAGUGACUCGGAGCGCCGUCAGGUUUACUUUGAAAAAAUUAGAGUGCUCAAAGCAGGCUUUUCACGCUUGAAUAUUCGUGCAUGGAAUAAUGGAAUAGGAACUCGUUUCUAUUUUGUUGGUUUUCGGAAAUCGAGUUAAUGAUUAACAGGGACAAUUGGGGGCAUUAGUAUUCAGACGACAGAGGUGAAAUUCUUGGACCGUCUGAAGACUGACUACUGCGAAAGCAUUUGCCAAGAGUGUUUUCAUUAAUCAAGAACGAAAGUUAGAGGUUCGAAGGCGAUCAGAUACCGCCCUAGUUCUAACCAUAAACGAUGCCAGCUAGCGAUCUGCCGAGUUUUUUUUGUAGGCUCCGCAGGAAGCUUUCGGGAAACCAAAGCUUUUGGGUUCCGGGGGAAGUAUGGUUGCAAAGCUGAAACUUAAAGGAAUUGACGGAAGGGCACCACCAGGAGUGGAGCCUGCGGCUUAAUUUGACUCAACACGGGAAAUCUCACCAGGCCCGGACACUGGAAGGAUUGACAGAUUGAGAGCUCUUUCUCGAUUCGGUGGGUGGUGGUGCAUGGCCGUUCUUAGUUGGUGGAGUGAUUUGUCUGGUUAAUUCCGAUAACGAACGAGACUCUGUCCUGCUAAAUAGUUGGGUCGUCCUUCGUGCGAUCCAAGUUCUUCUUAGAGGGACUGGCUGCGUCUAGCAGCACGAGAUUGAGCAAUAACAGGUCUGUGAUGCCCA
rnacentral:rRNA from 1 species